UAUUAAAUGCUCAGUAUAUCACUGACAGGUAUUUAGAUUUCAACCUUUGGUCAAACAUUUCAGAAAAGUCUUAAAUGUUAUUGUAAUGUUUAACUUUUAUGUGCACCUCCAUUUCAUGAAUUUCAGAAAAGUCAACACUGCCUGAAUCUGCGGGAUGCAAGUCCAGAUUACCCAUCUUAAGGGUCCAGGCCAUAAGCUGAUGCAGAGGAAACAUAGAUAACUGAUAUUGGAUAUGUGAGGGAAGCGGACAUUGUAGAGGUGGUGUUGCGUUUAUGGCGUCCUGUGAUUAUUGAGGACGUCCUCGUGGAAGCGUUCCAGGAGCGGCAAGACCCAGAAGUGGACAAGGUCAUCCAAGAGGUGGGACCAGGCUGAUGGACAUUAGCUUUUCCAUCUAUGGAAAACAAUACGACAGGGUGUGCAGGGCCAAUGUCAACAUGAAUCAUCUACGCCACAGGCUUGUACAACAAAGAGGGAAAAGAUGGAGGAGCGG